rnacentral:rRNA from 1 species
CACUCCUGCGGGAGGCAGCAGUGGGGAAUUUUGGACAAUGGGGGCAACCCUGAUCCAGCAAUGCCGCGUGAGUGAAGAAGGCCUUCGGGUUGUAAAGCUCUUUUGUCAGGGAAGAAACGGUGGUGGCGAAUAACUACUACUAAUGACGGUACCUGAAGAAUAAGCACCGGCUAACUACGUGCCAGCAGCCGCGGUAAUACGUAGGGUGCAAGCGUUAAUCGGAAUUACUGGGCGUAAAGCGUGCGCAGGCGGUUGUGUAAGUCAGAUGUGAAAUCCCCGGGCUCAACCUGGGAAUUGCAUUUGAGACUGCACGGCUAGAGUGUGUCAGAGGGGGGUAGAAUUCCACGUGUAGCAGUGAAAUGCGUAGAUAUGUGGAGGAAUACCGAUGGCGAAGGCAGCCCCCUGGGAUAACACUGACGCUCAUGCACGAAAGCGUGGGGAGCAAACAGGAUUAGAAACCCCUGUAGUCCCAUGAU